CCGCGCGCCUUCGCGCCCCGCCGCCGCCGUCCAACUUUUCUGUACAUUUCGCGUCAUCUAAACGGGGGAGAAAACUGGCAUCCUAUGCAAAUAUAUGCUGACGUAAAAGAUCAUGUGUUCCUCGUCGUCGCCCCCCCCCCCUAUGAGCGAGAGGAGGUGGUUCUCCUCCGGUUGUCUUUAGGUCGGCAAUGCCAGGAUCCGUACUGUACCCGCCGCACCGCACCGCACCGACCCUGGCCCGGGAGUAGGAGCCGUCUAGCCGCAGAGCCGCCGCAGACACGCCGCUCACAAGGUCCAGUCCGUUACCCAGAGUGCAUUGGGGCGAGAGUUCCUCACAGGAGAGGGCUGGGAUUGGUGGAGCAGGCGUCAGUGGAGCCCCUCCAGGGACGUACAUGGAGCCCUCAACCCCGCAGGAGGAAGAGGAGGAGGAGGAGGAGGAGGAGGAGGAGCAGGAGGAAGAGGAAGAGGAGGAGGUGGAGGAGGAGGAAGAGGAGGAGGAGAUGACAGACAGGGCAACAGAAACCAGGAGGCCGGGUGUUAAUCUGGCCCCUAGUGACAUCACAA
ensembl:lncRNA